UGCUUCAUAUCCAUUUUGGGACACGUAAGACAAAGCAUUAAGUGCGCACUAGCUACACACACACAGGUACAUGUGUGUGUUUGAUAUCUAACAUGGCGUGUGAUGAUUGACGUUUACCAAAGCAAACCAAUCAGAUAGCUGAGAUCUGCAGUGAUGUGAAAUAUAGAUGGCGCCACUACUUACUCUGAUUGAAGGCUCGAGCUGCAUGACCGUCAACAGCAUCCAGCAAUGCACUGAUUAUAUAACACCAACCGGCGAUCACAUAGUUCGUGGACAUGAACCAAAACGCUAUAAGAGCCAACACGAUGCGUGCAUAACCUGCAAAUUAAUCCAUAAGGAAAA